UCCCUGGUGGUCUGGUGGCUAAGACUAGGCACUCCCAAUGCAGGGGGCCCGGGUUUAAAUCCCUGGUCAGGGAA
rnacentral:tRNA from 1 species